rnacentral:misc_RNA from 1 species
GAUGAAGAACGUAGCGAAAUGCGAUAAGUAAUGUGAAUUGCAGAAUUCAGUGAAUCAUCGAAUCUUUGAACGCACAUUGCGCCCGCCAGUAUUCUGGCGGGCAUGCCUGUUCGAGCGUCAUUUCAACCAUCAAGCCCCCGGCUUGUGUUGGGGACCUGCGGCUGCCGCAGGCCCUGAAAAGCAGUGGCGGGCUCGCUGUCACACCGAGCGUAGUAGCAUACAUCUCGCUCUGGGCGUGCUGCGGGUUCCGGCCGUUAAACCACCUUCAUAACCCAAGGUUGACCUCGGAUCAGGUAGGAAGACCCGCUGAACUUAAGCAUAUCAAUACGCGGAGGA